GGGGAUGAUCGGUUUCGACGGAUCGCACCUUUACAAUCUGCAAGCCAAGUUUGAUAGAAACUUGUAAAAACUAUCGAAAAAUAAAAGCUGAUAAUAAAAAUUUCAGCCCGGCUUUAGCGUUUAAUACGCUCUUUGGUGGAAUGGGGCAACCCGCUUACCAAACUGUGUUAGCUUAAAAGUUGGUGUCGCUCUGUUUGCUUCUCUUUCGAACAGAAUCGGCAUAAACCCAUAGAGAUAGACUUUAAAUUCCUGAUUUUGGAUUUGAAGUUGAAAAUUUAAAAUCUUACUUUAAAUCAUCCUUCCGGUAGGUAAGGUUUAAGGGAAAAUAAAAAGAUCGGAUAAGCUUGUAGAGGAUUGUAAUGAAUGCUUUUCGGACGAGGGUUCAAUUCCCUCCAUCUCCACAC
rnacentral:tmRNA from 1 species